rnacentral:rRNA from 1 species
GAUGAACGCUGGCGGCGUGCUUAACACAUGCAAGUCGAACGAUGAAGCCCAGCUUGCUGGGUGGAUUAGUGGCGAACGGGUGAGUAACACGUGAGUAACCUGCCCUUGACUCUAGGAUAAGCCCGGGAAACUGGGUCUAAUACUGGAUAGUAACGUCUCCCGCAUGGUGGGUGUUGGAAAGAAUUUCGGUCAUGGAUGGACUCGCGGCCUAUCAGCUUGUUGGUGAGGUAAUGGCUCACCAAGGCGACGACGGGUAGCCGGCCUGAGAGGGUGACCGGCCACACUGGGACUGAGACACGGCCCAGACUCCUACGGGAGGCAGCAGUGGGGAAUAUUGCACAAUGGGCGAAAGCCUGAUGCAGCGACGCCGCGUGAGGGAUGACGGCCUUCGGGUUGGAAACCUCUUUCAGUAGGGAAGAAGCGAAAGUGACGGUACCUGCAGAAGAAGCACCGGCUAACUACGUG